UUGCGAAGGCAGCUUGCUGGAGCGUAACCUGACGCUGAUGCUCGAAAGUGUGGGUAUCAAACAGGAUUAGAUACCCUGGUAGUCCACACAGUAAACGAUGAAUACUCGCUGUUUGCGAUAUAUUGUAAGCGGCCAAGCGAAAGCGUCAAGUAUUCCAACCUGGGGAGUACGCCGGCAACGGUGAAACUCAAAGGAAUUGACGGGGGCCCGCACAAGCGGAGGAACAUGUGGUUUAAUUCGAUGAUACGCGAGGAACCUUACCCGGGCUUGAAUUGCAACCGAAUUAUCCGGAAACGGGUAAGCCGCAAGGCGGUUGUGAAGGUGCUGCAUGGUUGUCGUCAGCUCGUGCCGUGAGGUGUCGGCUUAAGUGCCAUAACGAGCGCAACCCUUAUCCACAGUUGCCAUCAGGUUAUGCCGGGGACUCUGUGGAGACUGCCGUCGUAAGAUGCGAGGAAGGGGGGGAUGACGUCAAAUCAGCACGGCCCUUACGUCCGGGGCUACACACGUGUUACAAUGGGGGGUACAGCAGGCUGCUGGGCGGCGACGUCCGGCGAAUCCCUAAAUCCCCUCUCAGUUCGGACUGGAGUCUGCAACCCGACUCCACGAAGCUGGAUUCGCUAGUAAUCGCGCAUCAGCCACGGCGCGGUGAAUACGUUCCCGGGCCUUGUACACACCGCCCGUCAAGCCAUGAAAGCCGGGGGUACCUGAAGUGCGUAACCGUUUAGGAGCGCCCUAGGGUAAAACCGGUGAUUGGGGCUAAGUCGUAACAAGGUAGCCGUCA
rnacentral:rRNA from 1 species